rnacentral:lncRNA from 1 species
CUCAGGGAUGCAGAGAGCUUUACAAUAGUAAAUGAUCAUUUAAGUUAGGUGUUGACUGCUUCCUGCUGCCUGUUCGAGUAAAAACGGAGCUGUCCAGUGUGGAGAGCAGUUUCUGCUAUAGAAUUUAGCCACCAAUAAAUAUUAGAGUUUAAUAUUUAAAAGAAGGCAUUGAGGAGGACCUGAGUGCUGAAGGCUGACCUUUCUGAAGCAGAGUUUGGGUGACUGCAAGGAUGAGUUAUUGCAUUAGCCUUUGGGUGUCCAGUGUCAGGUGUCCAGAAAGUCUUCUGGGAGAUGUGAGUUAGCUACAGAAGCGCAAAGCCAGGAAGGAAGGGCACAGAACUGGGAUAGAAGAAGGAAAAGGAAGUUGUUUUUUUUUUUUUUUUUUUUUUUUGGGACUGUAUCAAAUAACCCAGUUUCCUGACCUCAGCCCCAGUUUUCUUUCUGCAACAGGAUAUGGAAGCAGAGCAAGGGUCUGAUCACAUUUCUCAUUGACUUUGGGAGCCCAUUGAUCGGGGGCCAGUAGAGACCAGCUGCAAUGUCUGGUAAUGCUGCUGAAAUUGUUCUGAGGAGUAGCAACCAGUUGAGGGAAUUCUCCAAAAUCCAAGACAAGAACUCCUCCACAAAUUGUGACUUCA